rnacentral:tRNA from 1 species
GCCAUCGUGGUGUAGUGGUCAGCACACUCGACGCACAAUCGAGAGGUUCGUAGUUCGAUUCCCUGCGAGGGCA